rnacentral:lncRNA from 1 species
GGUGAGGUUCACGGCGACGAGACGGCAGCCAUGGGGCUCCUGCAGGUGCUGAUUCAGACAAGUUCAGAGAAAAAAUUCAGAAAGAGGGGGAGAGCAGGGGAGGAAGAAGAAGAGUGAGGCAUAGGGACCUGCUGCUGCAGCUGGUUGGUUCAUCGACGCAUCGGCUGAACGGGUGAGGAGAGCACGGGUCCAACCAUUCCCGGAGUCAGUCGGUGGCGGCGUGGUGCAGCUUGAGCAUCGGGCCCUGGUUGGAGCUCCUGCAGCACGAGAGGGAGCACAGGGCGCGGUCAACAGCAAGUUGACUCAGCCGGCAGCGCGUGACGGCUUGAGAAACGAACGGGAAAGGCUCGGGAUGGGCAGAUCCGGGCUCGGGCCACCCAUUCCCGACGACGAGGGAUCUUGGGGAGGCGCGGACGGCGACCUCCAUCAAGGCGGCGACGGGUUCCUCUGCCCUGGUCAACGAGAGAAGAGAGAGCUUAGCAGAGAUGGGAGAAGAGAAAAGCAGAGAGGGUAGGGGAAGGAGAGGCUCCGACGUGCCGACCUGGGAGGUGGCCGAUGCCCAUGGCGCGGCUGCAGGGAGGCACCUGAGGUGGAGCCUGCCUCGCGAGCAGAGGAUCUCGGGAAGCCCGGGGUCGAUCCCCUGCUAGCGCUGCACGCUGCUUGGACGAGGUCGGGGUCACCGAUAGGCGCAGCUGGCAGAAGGGGUGCCGGUGCCCAACCGACACUAGCGGCGAGGUGCGCGUAGAUGGGGCCGU